UUGAGGCGACGAUCUCAGGGAGAGAGUAUUGAAGAGAUUUUGCAUAUCUCGUCUGAGCUGGCUGUUUUCCUCUUUCAUCUCCUGUAAGGCUGACAUGACUGCUUCGGAGCUGAGGGUUUGAGACGCAGGACUCACUGGAGUUGGAGAGAAGACUGCUGCAGGAGGUGGGAUAGCUGCACCCUCGAUGGAGUGGUCAUGGAGUGUAAGAGAAGGAAGAUGGCGUGGCGGGAGAGUAACCAUGAAGUCAUCGAGGUAGCGAGGCCGACGAGCAAUCAGAAUUGAGAGAUUCUGAAACAUUUACAUUUUAUCUAGCAUUUGACUAUUUAUAAAUACGUACAUAUAUAUGUCCUGUACAGAUCUUUUCCAGGAUAUUUCAGAUCAAACUUCAGUCGAGGUAAAAAGAGGUGUUUAACUUCCACCAAGCAGCUUCCUAGGACAACCAGCAAGACCAUCACUCUCAAUUUUUAUCUGCUUCCAAAAAACACAUCUUUGCCAGUUGCCAGCUUGAAGCUUCAAGCUGGCAUGGGAAGACAAACAGUGUCGCUGCCUGACGACAGUGACCAUGCAGCGGUACACUAGUCAGUUCAGAGUUCUGACUUUUAGUGUUUAAGGUGGUCACUGGGCCCCACAUUUAAGCCAAAUUAUAUGUUAAAGUCUAUAUUGAAGUGUUUUAUUUCUCUCUCUCGUUACUUUAUUGUCAAGAUUUCAAAGGUCCUGGCUGAAGCAUUCCCAAAAAUGGAAGAUCUUUAUGGGGGAUGGCUCUUGCAUAAGGCAACAGGUGGCAGUGGUCGACGGAAACUCACUGUAAUUCCACCAGAAGCAGAGGGUUAUUCUGUCAAAACUCUUAAGAGCUCAGUCAGGAGGGGGCAAAGCCACUUUUUACAUAGUGCCACUACAGGAGACAUUAGACACUUCUCCUCUGCCUCCUGGCUCACAGCACUUUUCAAAGAUGCCAAAGAAGACAUGUUACCAGUGUAAUGAAGUGAUGCCUCUGCAGAUGCUUGCAAUACACAUUAAGACAUGCAGAGGAAAAUCGCUUUGUGAUGAGACUGAUGAAGAGGUGAGAAAAAAUAGUUUUUGUUUCAUUAUGAUGGAAAUGACAAAACAUACAGUGUUUUUUAAAGUGGCCGUUUUGUAAAUCUGCAGUACUCUGAGCUAAGCAUUGUGGAACGCAGUUGCAAGGUAAACUCAGCACAUCAAUAAAAUCCAAAAUCACAAUGUUCAUUUUGAACCAGUCUUAGCUGCUUGUAACAUGUAACUUUAAAACAAAUUUCAUAUGAUUUGUCCAAUUUGCAACAAGGACUUUCCACAAGAGAUCGCAGUUCAUGCUAGUGUAUGUGGAGAGAGCUCUGAAUGGGCAGUGCCUGAAGCAAAAGAUCCCUGUUUGCCUUCUCAAACAGCAGUAUGCACACCAGACAGCAUGGAAGAUGUAUUACGCUUCCUUGAAAAACAGGUUGACACCACAACAGAAUUUAAAUUGUGUAUGAACAGAGAAGACCUUCCAGACAGAGGUAUUCUCCAGUGGCAGAGAAAAAAACUGCAUCUCCCAUGAGUGCUCUGAAGGUGGUGUACAUAGGCGAGGCAGGUGUUGAUACAGGAGCACUAAAGAAAAAGUUUUUGACAGAUAUGAUAUCAGGUAUCGAAAACAGAUUCUUCGAAGGACCUGGAAGCCAGGGAAAAAAUCCCAAGUACUCUUUGACAGACCUUGAUGAUGAAAACUUCAGAACUGUUGGUGAAAUAAUUGCAGUCAGUCUGGCCCAAGGUGGCCCAGCUCCUGCUUUUUUCAAAGAGUGGUGCUACCGUUUCCUGUGCACAGGAGAGGUGGACUUCAGUUAUUUAUCCAAGGAGGAUGUGGCUGACCAAGAAUCUUCCCUACUCAUCAGCAGUGUUGAAGAUGUGGCUGAUGCACAGUCUCUGAUGUUGUUGGCUGAUAAAGUUAUAAACUGUGGAUACACAAGCCAAAUCAAGCUGGAUAGUAAGGAAAACAUCAUUC